rnacentral:rRNA from 1 species
UACAGAGGGUGCAAGCGUUAAUCGGAUUUACUGGGCGUAAAGCGUGUGUAGGUGGUUAUUCAAGUCGGUUGUGAAAUCCCCGGGCUUAACCUGGGAACUGCUUCCGAGACUGAAUGACUAGAGUACGGUAGAGGGUGGCGGAAUUUCCGGUGUAGCGGUGAAAUGCGUAGAUAUCGGAAGGAACACCAAUGGCGAAGGCAACCACCUGGGCCUGUACUGACACUGAGACACGAAAGCGUGGGGAUCAAAC